rnacentral:pre_miRNA from 1 species
AAUAAGUGCAACCAUGAGUUUUCGCGUCCAAUUUUAAUCAUCCGUCUUAUUUGAAAUUUUUUUAUAAUUAAUAUUUUUAUUGUUAUAAGAUGAUAAAACAUAAAUAAUACUUUACUCGUGACUUAUGUUUUUAUUUUUUUUUCAACUUUUUUAAAUAAGACGAAUGAUUAAAGUUGGGCGCGGAAAACCAUGACUGCACUUAUU